rnacentral:misc_RNA from 1 species
GAAAUGCGAUAAUUAAUGUGAAUUGCAGAAUUCAGUGAAUCAUCGAGUCUUUGAACGCACAUUGCGCCCCCUGGUAUUCCGGGGGGCAUGCCUGUCCGAGUGUCAUUGCUGCCCUCAAGCACGACUUGUGUGUUGGGCUUCCGUCCCUGGCAACGGGGACGGGCCCAAAAGGCAGUGGCGGCACCAUGUCUGGUCCUCGAGCGUAUGGGGCUUUGUCACCCGCUCCCGUAGGUCCAGCUGGCAGCUAGCCUCGCAACCAAUCUUUUUAACCAGGUUGACCUCGGAUCAGGUAGGGAUACCCGCUGAACUUAAGC